GCUGGGGGAUAACCUCGCGAAAGUGAGAACAAUACCCCAUGGGUCACUAUGCCUGGAACGGUUAGUGGCUGAAAGCUCCGGCGGCACAGGAUGGGUCUGCGGCGUAUCAGGUCGUAGGGGGUGUAACGUACCUCCUAGCCUUCGACGCGUACGGGUUGUGAGAGCAAUUGCCCGGAGAUGGAUUCUGAGACACGAAUCCAGGCCCUACGGGGCGCAGCAGGCGCGAAAACUUGACAAUGCGAGAAAUCGUGAUCAGGGGACUCCAGUUGGCUGGAUCAAAAGUCCAGUCUGAACCGACUUUAAAUCGGUCGGGUAAUAGGGGCGGGAAAGACCGGUGCCAGCCGCCGCGGUAAUACCGGCGCCCCAAGUGGUCGUCACUAUUAUUGGGCCUAAAACGUCCGUAGCCGGUUUGGUAAAUCCGUGGGUAAAUCAGACAGCCCAACUGUCUGAAUUCUGCGGGGACUGCCAGACUUGAGACCGGGAGAGGUGCGGGGUACCUGCGGGGUACCGGUAAAAUGGGAUCAUCCCGUAGAGACCACCUGUUGCGAAGGCGCCGCACUAGAACGGAUCUGACGGUCAGGGACGAAGCCUAGGGGCACGAACCGGAUUAGAUACCCGGGUAGUCCUAGGUGUAAACGCUGUGGACUUGGUGUCGGGGACCUUCUGAGGGUUUCCGGUGCCGGAGUGAAGAUGUUAAGUCCACUGCCUGGGGAGUACG
rnacentral:rRNA from 1 species